UUGGACAGAUUCUUCGGAUGAAGUCUUUGGCGACUGAGUGGCGGACGGGUGAGUAACGCGUGGGUAACCUGCCUCAUACAGGGGGAUAACAGUUAGAAAUGGCUGCUAAUACCGCAUAAGCGCACGGUACUGCAUGGUACAGUGUGAAAAACUCCGGUGGUAUGAGAUGGACCCGCGUUGGAUUAGCUAGUUGGCAGGGUAACGGCCUACCAAGGCGACGAUCCAUAGCCGGCCUGAGAGGGUGGACGGCCACAUUGGGACUGAGACACGGCCCAGACUCCUACGGGAGGCAGCAGUGGGGAAUAUUGCACAAUGGGGGAAACCCUGAUGCAGCAACGCCGCGUGAGUGAAGAAGUAUUUCGGUAUGUAAAGCUCUAUCAGCAGGGAAGAUAAUGACGGUACCUGACUAAGAAGCUCCGGCUAAAUACGUGCCAGCAGCCGCGGUAAUACGUAUGGAGCAAGCGUUAUCCGGAUUUACUGGGUGUAAAGGGUGCGUAGGUGGCAGUGCAAGUCAGAUGUGAAAGGCCGGGGCUCAACCCCGGAGCUGCAUUUGAAACUGCUCGGCUAGAGUACAGGAGAGGCAGGCGGAAUUCCUAGUGUAGCGGUGAAAUGCGUAGAUAUUAGGAGGAACACCAGUGGCGAAG
rnacentral:rRNA from 1 species